AAUACUACUCCAGUUGAGCGGGCCUCGGUAUCACUUGGUCGUCCGAUCUGCUGCUCUGUGCCCUCAACCGUCCGGAUAGCACCACGCAUGCACACGGCCGCUCUUCAUUCGCAGGCCGCCGCCGCCGCCACAUCCUCAUCUUCUCCUCCGUUGCCGGCGAUGACGCGUAUACCGAACGCGAGGGACGGCGGCGAUCCGCUUGACACAGAAGAUGGAUUCUGGAGCAGCGGCGACCAGCGAAGCAAAGAUCCGAUCGAGGUGGCGGCGGCGCGCGGUCUCCUCCUCGUCCUCCUCGGCAAUGGUAUGAUUGUUGCUGCCAUUUGAGUAAAUCGGGAAAAUAUUUCAAAGUUAACCUGACUUGCUAAAGUACAGGAAGGAGACUGACCAGUGGCUUGCAUCACCAAAGCAAUCGACUCAGUCUUGAAGGAAAUUGGAGAUUUCGAGAACUGGAUGAAGAUCAUGGAUUUUGAUUGUAAAAGUAUAAAUGCAGCCAUCCCUAACAUUUACCAAUCUUGACUCAGCCAGUGGCUAAUGUUAGGAAGAGAUUUUAUCUUGCUCCUCACUUAACAAUUUUUAUCUCAGAUAUGAACUCUGUUGUAUAGAUCUGUUUUUCUGGUGUUCUGUACACAAUUGAAAAACAAAAGCUUGCCAAUCACUUUUUACUGUCAAACUAUAUAAAACCUCUGUUGCUCAUUGUCUAA